ensembl:lncRNA
AGGCAGCGGAGCGGCUGCGGAGCGGCGGCGGCGGUGGCGUCGGGAGCCCCGGCCCCGCGAUAAAAGGGAAGGGGCCGGGCGGCGGGCGGCGCGCGUUGCGGCACUGGGGGGAGCGUGGCCGGGAAGGAGGGAGGGAGCGAAGGAGCCGCCUCCCGCAGGAAUCCCGGGCAGGCGGCAGUAGCAGCGGCGGCAGCCGGGACGCGCGGCUCCCCCUGCCUGCGCGGCGGCAGGAGGCGGGUGAGCAUCGAGGAGCAGCCGCCGCCUCAUCCUGCGGCAGCGGCCGGCGCUGCCCGGCGAGCGCAGGUGGCAGUGUAGAAGCCAAGAACAAAAAUUGGCAGAAAUUAUAUUCUGUGUACGAGAGAAUGAAGAGUAUACUCAUGACUAAGCACAGGAACCUGGAAAACCACAGGAUUCCUGGGAAGCCACGGAGGAUGGGGUGAACUCAGAGCUGGAGCAUGAGGAGUUUUUUGGAACUUGUGAAUGGGAAGUUAUCCUGAACACCUAUGGCUAGAUACUGACUCCGUAGUGUGAAUUCCCUGGUGGAGGUUGCUGGUUUGGUGGACAGACAUGUUUACAUCAACAGAAAAUUUUUCCUGUGUAUUGAUUCAAGAUGGCUGUGUUGAAGAAGACAAACUCUGAAUUGUUUUCAUAAGCAUGUUGUGAUUUUUUGUCCUCUUUAUUUUCUGCCACAGUUGUCAAGCCGUUAAUGGUCAUUAGCACUGAGAUAAUUAUUAGUUGCAGUGAACCUGCUCACUGUAAGCUGGGCUGUAUAAAUUAUACCUAACAGACAAGUGUGGGGUUUUUUAAUUUUUUUUUUUUAAUUUUUUUUUUGUAGUUCAGUUUUUGCCACAGUUCCUUGGGGACUGCAAACUAAAAAUAUGUUUAACUGUACAGAUUGUUCUAAUUGCUGAAGAUCAUUUCCUUAUUCCUGUAAGGACUUGCUGUGGGAGCAGCUCUGAGUUGACCAAAGGACAAAUUUUUGGCACAACAGAAAUCUAAUACUAGAUCAGAAGAGCAUCUUUUUUCAAGUAGACGCUGUUGGUAUUAGAAAAGGCCCUUUUGAUAAUUAGAAUUUUGAAAUAAACACUCAGGGAAAUACUUACCAAGGCUCUGCAAGAAAGCUGACUAAUUUAGAAUAAGUGUAUUGGAAGUUUACUAGUGAGUGUCUGUUCCUGCAAAACUACACCUGCUGUUACCAUUCCACCCAUUAUGUUCUAUCUUGGGGAGAUGUUUUUGUGUGCCACUACAGUAGGCUUGCUUCCAUGUAUUCAGUAAACUUACUGCAGUGAGAUACUUGGGAUUUGAUUUCAUCCUAAUACUGUAAGACAGUAGGAAAACCUAAAAGGAGAAUAGGACUUGUGUAUGUAAAGAUAUUUUUUAUGGAUUUUGCUCAACAUUGUAGAAUGGCAUCACACUGGCAAAAUUGCUUAGACAUGCAAUUCCCUGAAUUUCUCUCUUUUAAGGAAUAGAUUUGGUUCAAGUGAAAUAGUUGUUUAUCGAUGUUAGUGUACCUGUUUUUAGUAAUCAUAGAAUCACCAAGGUUGGAAAAGACCCGUAAGAUCACCCAGUCCAACCAUUCACCCAUCACCAAGCUGUAAGUCUUAUAAAGUUUGAAAAUAUAUAUUAUAAAUAUUCUCUUUGCAGGCACAGUACGUGCUUUUCAUGCAGCACUUGAUACGUGUAUAGAUGUACUUUGCUAUUCUAACCUCAGUUCUUUUAAAAAGUUUGUUCUGAGCCUGAGUUUGUAAAUUAUUCUGGGGUAAAGUUGAAUUAGUGGAUCACAUUGUUUCCCUAGCCCUGCAGAAAUUACCUGUGCACCACAGUUGUUUUGUUUUGUUUGGGGGGUGCUAAAACUGGUUUCUAUCUGCAGAAUUAUUUAACACUGUGCUACUCAUUAGUGUAGAGCAAGGAAGUUUUUUGUUGGACAUGGGACUGUUAAGCAGGAGAUGAAGCUCUAUUCUUAGCUCACUCUCCAAGCCUUCCUCUGUGAACUGGAGAAAAUCAUUUGGUCUUCUUAAGGCUUUAUGUUCGGCAGCUGUAAGCAGGAGAAGAGUAAGUUCUGCAAGUGCUCACUAAUGAGGCCUUUUAAUUCAUGAGUGUGUUGUCACGACGCUUUGGGAUCCUGAAAGGGAAGGUCCCAAAUAAAGGCAAAGGACAUACUGCUGCAUUCUUCCUUUUCAUGAUCAGAAAGAGCAGUUCAGAGAAGUCUGUUGAAGUCCUGUUUCCUCCACCCUUUAAUAGAUCCAUCAUCAAAUAUAAACACAUUUGUUUUCCUUCUGGCUCACUUUCAGCUUUCAUGUCUUACUCCUGUGGAAAAUCUCCUAACACAGAUCCUUUGGUUUCUGUUAAUUAUUGCUUUGUGCUAUUUAAGAAAAGUGAAGAAUAAUAAAGAGUAACAAAGUAGUUGGAGGAACUGUGCAGUAGAAAGGAUAGCUUUUGGACAAUUCAUGAAAUAGUUGGUGCCUUUUAAUAGUAGAGCGGCCCCUCUGCUCAUGAAUUAUUCAUUUUAAUGCUUUUGUUAUAAUGGCGACAGUGUUCAGUCUCGGAGGCUGUUCUGGAUAGCCUUCCUCUGCUGAAAUACUGCACAGCAGCAGCUACCAUUUGCUUCAUAAAAUAUUGCCUUUAUGUCAGUAAUGUAUUGAGAAAAUAUAUUUUCACAAUCAAGAAAGUGAGAAAAGGAGGAGAAAAUAACCAAAUAACCAAGAAGGUAUGUUUUGCCAAAAGGCUCAGUUAGUAAACUUUUCUGGGAGCUGUUCACGGAAAUUAUUUAGGAUAAAUAUUUCUGCUGAUUGUUGUGUUUAUUAAUGCAAACCGUACAAUAAUAACGCAUUAGGGAACUUGCUCUAUGUAGUGCUGUGCAAUAAAAGGCAGAUUAAAAACAAUCACUGUACAUAAACAUAUUACAUUUUUCUUUAAAUUAAUGUUUAAAAAUCUCCUUGAAACAUAUAUUUUUUUUAAGAUGAAACAUAACAUAACCCACAUAACCCACACAGAAAAUGUAUAUGAGUCAUAUGCAUACAGAAAUAAAAGUUUCUUUGUGGUAUCUAGUAUCAGUCUUUCAUUUAAGCACGGACUUUCCUAAACAGAAAUUCCAGUGCAAAUGGUUCAGGGUUCUCACCUCCCUGUCCCCCACCUCCCUACCCUUUUCUUGUGCUGACUUCAGCUGGUGCGUCUGGCAGGGUUAGGGACGGUCCCUGUGCGGAGUGGGGAAUUUGGGGCUGGGGACUUUGGUACUGGUUUCAAUGGGCACAAGCGUGCGCAAGCACAGCGCACGCUCUCUCUAUAACGUAUUUCAAAAAGGAGUGUUUCCUCCUAAGCCAUACAUGUGCUCAUAAAAUGUCUUCAGGCAAUAGAUGUGUGUGUGUGUGUGUGUGUGUGUGCGUGUGUGUGUGUGGAGAGGGGGAACGGAAGCAGCGAGCAGAUAGAUGAACGAUUAGGUCAUUUGGAUUAGGAAUGAGGGUUUUUUACACUGAGCUCUCUUCUCAUUCCUGGCUGAUCAGAUUCUCUGCACACAUGCGGGGUUGAAACUGCGUCAGUAGAGAAAAGAAAACUCCAUAGAUGGAUAUAGUGGCAGAACUAUAGGGAGUAUCGAAGAGGGGAAAAGUUUGAAUUGAAAGUAUAUGCGGUUUAGGGGAAUCUGAAUCAUGCAGUGUUACUUUCGCUUCUUCUAGGCUUCUAUUUCCUACGAACAAACCAUUGGGGAGAUAGAAGUUCUGAUUUAGAUAAUGUCUUGCAGUCUUUGGAAUAACACAUUCUGCUGGAGGGGGAGUUCUGGCAAUGAAGGUUGUGCUCUGGGGAUAGAGAGCCGUCCCCUCUGCCCGCACACACUGUGGUUCUGCUCUGGGUGUCACCUGGGGGCCUUUCCCCGCAAAACAUCCCUGGGUUUGGGUGGGUGCACUGUGUAAAAUGGGAGCACCGAUGGGAACCCCUCCUUUUCCUUUUUCCUGUAGCUCUGCUCAGACCAUUCUCUGUUAGCAUGGUAGUGGUACAAAGUGUGUGGUCUUUCAGCUCUGACUAAUGCAUUUUGUGCUGUGUGACUGAAAAUGCCUCAUAGCCUGCCAGGGCUGACUGAGGGCUGUGGAAUGUGGUGCCUUUUCUCUGUUUCUCUGAUUCUUUUUUCUUCUUUUUUUUUUUCUUUUUUUCUUUUCUUUUUUUUUUUUUCUUCAGCAGAAGUGUGUAGGCAGCCUGUUGAGAAACCUCAAGAUGCAGGGGAAAUGCUUGCAUGUUGUGGAAUGUGGCUUCCCCUGGGAGACCCCCACUAGGCAGUCAGUGAAUGAGCGGGGCUGGAGAAUGAGAAAGGGAGGAGGCUGGAGGCAGAGAGAGAUAGGAAAGAGUGAGAGAGGAGGAAGGAAGGAGGUGGAAGCGGAGGGGCCCGUUUCCCUUUUUCUGAAGCAAUGACAGCUGGUUCUGUCCAGACUCACAUGACAAAGUGCUGUGGAGAGCAGUGCUUGAGCUUGAAGCUAGCCAGCACUGAUGGUCAGCUGAUCUUAUUCUCUUCUUUUCCAGGCUUUGGUCAGGUGAUCCACAGUGACCGGUCAGCCCACCAAGAAGAUACCUCAGCAGCCAGGGAGCAUUCUGUCUCUGGCAAGUUGAACAGCAUCAGGCAACACAGACAAGGAAGAGGAUGGUCAUGUACCAUAGGAACUAUGUUUUCAUAUAGGUAAGGUCAUAGCAGCAAUUAUAAGUGAGAUAGUUCUCUACUAAAGGGUUGGGGACUUAUUUGUCUCUUUUUAGAGGAUGGAGGGAAGUAGAGGCUUCGUGAGGUGUAGAAAGAUGAGUGAAGUGAAACAGUGUCAGGCAGUAAUGACUGGUUAGCACAGACUACCCUAUAGAGGCUUGUCGAUUUGUCAGGGGGACCAACGAUGAGGUGCUCUCUCUUCAGCGUAAUCUUCUUACUGAGAUCAGGGAGUUGCAUAGGCUUGGCAUUUUGGAGAAAUGAGGUAUCAAGUCUGAAAAUGUCCCAGGCUCAUGUAGUCAUUCCACAUGGGCUUCAUCUAAAGUAAAGUGAUCUUUUAUGAAUAGAUGCAAAUUUUCUUAUGUUUCACGGUGCUGUCCUUAGGGGAAUUCCUAGCAGGUGGGCUUGUCUGAGGCUGCGUGCUGUAGAGGUACUAUUGGUAUACGUGCAUAAACAAGGCAGUUCAUAUCUUACAUGUGUGCACUGCAGAGAGGAGCAGAGCUGGAAUAGGUAAAUGUGAAACUAUUUCAGAGAGUACUGUUUUUUAUUCGUCUAGCUAAAACUAGAUAUUCACUGUGUUAUUGAUAUGUGUUGUUGUUGAUAUUGUUAUUUGUGUUUCUUUUUUUCAACAUAAGAUUGUUCUUUAAUUUAUUAAUUGUCAAUGAGCACUAGUAUGUUUGACUUUUGGCCAACUAGCCAGUCUUAUUCAAAUGCAUUUCAGAGAUAGGAAAUAUUUUAACUUUUAGUGUAUUUCUACCUUUUCUUUUGUGUUUUUAAUAUAUUUGCAUUUGGAGAAUAAGGUUUGUUUGAAAUAUUUCAGGUGCAGUCCUUCAAUUUCCACUUAUUGAAGUUAGAAUAUCUCUGUCAAAAUAAUUUCUAACUUGUGAGCACUUUAGGUCACAUUUAUUUAACUCUAGAGUUGCCUAAUGAUCAUGAUUGCUUUGACGCUAAGUAGGAAAAAAUGAAUAACUUGCCUGCAAAUGAGGAACUGAUUCUGUGUGUAUGGCAUUGUAAAGGAUAAGAGUAGUUUUCCUUAGAGUAGUGGAAGAAAAAUCAGGAGUUUAAUGGCUCUACUGAGUAAACUUGCAAGAAAAUAGCCUCUUAACACUCUUAAAUACAGAGACGCUUUCAUAAAUUUAAGAAUCUUUCAUAAGUUUGGGAAUCUCAAGAAAAAAAAAAUGGGGGAAAGAACAGAUAGAUCACAUUAUUUUAAUAAGAUAUUUAUGAUUAGGAGGUGUUUUACUGUUCACUGUCUCAUUUAUAUACAUAUUAAUUGAUUUUGGAGAAUGAAGACUGAAGUUUCCAAGAGUUCUUUUACUUGAUACAGGGUAGACUUUGCUGCUACUUACUUGAGUAGGAUCUUGAUACGUGCUUGUGAGGGCUUAAUUUAACACCCAAGUGUUAAAAUUAAGUGGUAUCCCACUUUUGUUUCAGUGGACAAUGCUGUAGUUGCUUUAAAACAAAACCCUUCUCUUUUUUCCUAGCUUCGCUUUCCUAGCAGACUUACGAGCACAAACAUGACAAAUCUGGAAUAGGAUUUUCCAGUUUUGAGGAGCUGAGGAGCUUAGACCUCUUUGCCAUUAUUCACAUCCUUCUCUUAAGUCUUCGGUUGCAUAUUAAAGCUCAGUCACGCGAAAUAGCCCUGCCAUUAGGUAAAAUCUUGCUUGUAUCUUUAAGCGCCUCUUAGACGUACGUAGGUUAUUGCCUCGCUUGAAUUUUCAGGCGGGCGCGGGGUUUGCUCCCUUAAACCCUACGCCGCUGCUGCAAGCCGAGGAGAGCGGCGCCCGGCUUCGCCUACAGCGAGCCGCCCGGUCGCCUUCUGUGGUAAAAGCGCGGCGCCCCCUCCCGGGCGCUCCCGCCGCUGCAGCGCCCCGCGGGCUGCGCACUCCGGCGGGCAGCCGGAGGCCGCAGCGACCCCUUCUCCUCCUUCCGAGAGAGCCGGGGAUGCUGGGGACAGCUCGGGAACGUCGAGCGUUUCGCUGGUUUCUCGCUUUCUGCCGGCGUUUCACGCCUGUUUCUUUUAUGAGUGCGGUUUCCACAAUGUAAUACGCAGCAAACGGCGAUGUGAGAUGAGAGAAAAUACUAAAAAGAAUACACCUCGAUGAAAACUGGCAUCUGUUCUGAAACAAUGAAAAGAGGCCCUUGAUAAGUCUUCUUUAUAUUAACUGCGAUGCAGCAUUGCUAUUAGCAAAGGAAAUUUAGCCUUAGUGCAAAAGUAUUCUGUCAGAAAUAUCUGUUGUAACCUUCCCAGAUCAUACAGGACUAUAACAAAAUGUUAUAAGUCCCUAAAGCUUCUCAAAUAAAGUGUUUCAUGUUAGUGUUUAAUUUCAAUAUGUGUGAGUUAUUUCCAAAUCAAUUUUGCCUUACCUCUUAGCAGCUGAGAAGAAAGAAAAAAUCUUAGGACUAUAUGUGCUGAUAGAAGUAAUAAGCUUCUGAAAUAGUCAUGAGCCCUGACACUUAAUCACUGUUUAUGAGGAAUGAUUAUUCAGAAGUGAAAGUCCUGCCACAACAUGCUUAUAUUCCAAUUGAAAGCUGUCAUCGCAGUACCUGCUCAAAACUUCAGUUACAUGGACUGAAUAUCCUGUAAGUUCAUCUUGUUAAAGGAGUAAACAAGAAGCUAUACGAGAUGUUAAAAUGCCCCUGUACUUUUGGCCCUGUACCCUAAGAGUAAGGCAGAUACUCUGUAAAGUGCAAGAGCUAGAUACAUGGAAGUGCUUGUGAGGGACUCGUCUCUGGCAGCUUCCCGUCAUUUCCACCUGCUGCCGCAUGGAAUGCUUUGACCAGUGAUAGCAGAUUGUGCUGUGUGGUUCUGAUGAGAAGGGUUGUUCUGAGCUUGAAUGCAGAAGGUGCCAUACCAAACAUCACAAAUAUCCUGUGUUUUAAAAUUACCGAAGACAAUGAAGCAUGAAAAGACUUCGUAAGUGGUGCUAAUGAUGUGCAAAUUCUCCAGCAUAAUCGUGACUUGCUACGUGCUUAUGGAAAGCAAAAUAAGUGAGAGAUGAAAAAAGCAAUGCUGCAAUUUAAGCAAAGCUAACUAGAGCUUGAUUUGAUUUUGUUCUGCUUAUUCAGAUCAUAGCUAUCCUUACAGAGGACCACCUUUUCUGAGGAACUGAUGUGUGCGUGCACGUGUAUUUCUUUCAGUAGUGUUACUAUUUGUCAUUUAUAACAGUAUAAUAUGGGUAAGUCCCCAAACGAUGACCUGCCAUUGAGGUUGGUGAUCAUUUACAUCUUAACAAGAGCAAUCAGAACGUCCACGUUCAAGGUGCUUUCUCAAGUGCCACAUUCCAAGCUCUUUAGCACUAGCACAUGUUCUGAAGCUGUAAUUUAGUUUGUUAUUCAAUUAAAAUUCAUCCCAACCAAAACAAUGUAUUAUGACAAGAUAAUAUAGUUUGUACUCUGCAGUGACACUGCUCAAGAUGUUGUUUUCCUAAGGAUUUUUUCCCCUUAAAAUAAAGCCCUGUUUUUGUUGCAGAUCUUCUGUUUUGUCAUAGUAAUCAUAUCUCAAGAGCCACUUUUCCAAAUGUUUUCUCCUCAUUUAUGUAAUUAUUAAAUAUCUGAGUGUGCAUUGCAUGAUAGAAAAGUUGUAAUCCUGUCAGCAUCAACAUCUCAUCUGUGAUACAAAUUCAUUGUUUUUUUUUCCAAAUAAGACUGCCCCCCACUAAAGAGCUCCCAUUGCUCUCCAGAAUAAGGUGUACCGUCUUGUCCUCUCCAAAUCUACAAGAAGUUCACGUGUGUUGAGAGGCCAGAAUCUAAAGUGUUGUAAUAUAUCUUGCAAAUAGGCAAUGGUAGUUUUAAUUGUAUUUUAAUUUAGGUGUGCUUAAACUGUUCAGUUCAUUCUGAGCAGUGGCUCAAUGGCUUGUUGACUACUUUAUAUGGAAAUUUUAUAGGACUGUGCAUUUUUUUCCCCAAAGAAUAUUGAAGGGGUUCAUUAAAUAUAAAGGUCCUCUAUGACGGGUUUACUGAGUUCUGUUCUGAGAACUCCUAAUAUAUAAUGAAGUAAUCAUCCCCUUAACCCAGCCUGUUUGCACUCUCAGUGAAAUCCCCUUCCUCUGAAGAAAAAGGAGCCAUGGAGCUUUAGCUCUUACUGAACUUUUUUGCAUUGCGGGCAGGGUCCAUGCAAACUGUUGCCUGCAAUGGAGGGACACAUAUGCUGAAGCUGGAUAUAUUAGCCUUAAUGCAGGGCAGACCUCUCAAAGGGACUGAUGUCAACGUUUCCCGAGAAUACUGGGGGUGGACAGCCUCUUCUUCAAAAAGUGCCAACAACAGAAAACCCCCAUCCUAAACAUACAGCUCCCGUGUUUUGGGGCUCCUCUUUUAUCUGUUUGAUGGAAAGUCGGCUCAACGUGGGCACCAGAGUCUGGGAAAGACAGUUUGCCCGAUGUCAGCCCUGCCGCGGAGCGGCACGAAGGGGCGGCUGUGUGCAGCACAGCCCGAGUUUCCAUCGCCUAAUGCAGCGGGUUUUUCAAGCAGGGCGGAUUUCAGGAUGCUGGGUGUGUGGAGUGCGUGGGCAGCGGCUCUUAAACGGCAGUGGGUGGAGAUUACAGCAUUUCAUCUGCUUUUCCUCUGACACCUUUUAAAGAUACAGCCCACGAUGUUGUUUAGGGGUUUGUGCCAAUUGCUGCUAGAGUAAUCUUGCAUUCAAUCUGACAAUUUACAGCUCGCCUCAAUGUAUAAAUAGGAGUAAGUUCUGAGCAGACCCUAAGUUUCUCUAUGUUAACCUCAGUUCUCAUGCAAGGGUGAAGCAUUUCCUUGGUCAAAUGCUUCUGAUUUAACGUUAAUUCCAUACAAAUUUAUAUAAAAGUACUUUCUGGAAGCAGAGCCUUGUAAGUAGCAUCGAAGGUUAAGAAUUGUUCUCUUUAGCCUCGUCCAAGGUGGAGGGAGAUGUCUUUCUUUCCCUAUUGAUUUUCUUAGCUCUUAUUCUGUCUUGCUGCAGCUAUGAAUGUAUUCUGUGUUCGGUAUUUUUGCAAGCAUUUGGCUCAGAAGUGGUGAACAGCUUGUUGUUACUGGUGCCUACUUCCCCCUGAAGCACAUAACAUUUUUUUAAUUUAAAGGAAUAACAAGAAUUUGCCUCUAACCAGUAGAAAACAUUUUCCUAUUUAAACUUCUCCUUUCAUUCUGAAAAUGCGAAAUGAUAUUAAUUGCCGGCUAUUCAUUCUUUUUGCUCUGUGAAAACCUCAGAAGUUGCUACAGAUAAUGUACUUGUCAAUUUAUUCAGUGUUAGAACUCCCUGAGAUUGAGAAAAUACAGGCAUACAGUAGGGUUGUGGUAUUCAGGUUAUUUGUUUUCCCUUUUUCUUCAGAUUAGUCUCAAGUAAUGAUGUCUAGUUAGUCAGCUACUGGGUGGACAGGCUGAACAGAGUCCAACUUUGUAAAUGUUACACAGUGUUAUGACCAGUCUUGAGCAAUAGUGGAUGACAGUACAGCACUCAGUCAGAGAGGACGUCUGAACGGUUCCAGUACGACUGUGCUAUGUGUUUUAGGGAGGACAUAGGCAUUUCUUGAGAACAGAAAUGAAUCUUGUAAAUGCAGAAAGCUGCUGGGGGAACGCAGCUUUGUCUUUCCAAGGAAAACAGGAGGCGAAGUCUUAAGAGAUGACUUCUCCUCCUAAUUAAGUACCUCAAUAUUUAUAAUACCAUACCUUGCCAUUUUGAGAUUUGUGGGCUUCCUGCUUCUGAAAAAAUGUUAUGCUUGUCUUCAGCCAUUUUGUAACCAUUGCCUCAUUGAGAAAUUGAGCCCUGUUGUGAAUCUUAAACUAGGAAAAGAGAAGUGAAGCAGUUGAGGAUUAAUACUUACAAGACCAAAUGAGUCAGUACCUAUCCCCUGGUCUUGUAGAUGUUAUUAUGAAUGAUACGUGUUAUACGUAUGGGCUUCUUGCUAAUUUAAGCAGAAACUUUGUCUCUUAAAAUUAUUUUAAUUCUUACUGAUAUACAUAUGCACUUUGUCAACCCAUAGUGAUGUUCGUCUGCUCAUUAUUUCCUAAUAUAAUUACUUAACACAUGCAUCUGACAUUUGGUAACUUGAACUGAAAUAGUUUCUCUUGAAUGUGUGUGUCACUAAGUUUUAAAUGGGCUGCAGUGUGUUUGUUUCAUGUAGUGGAGGAGGAGGGGAAGUAACAUUUGAAAGUUAUCAUCGCUUGCCUGGAAGUACACAAAUGCUACCAUAUGUCUGGAGCUUUUGCAUGGUUUAUUAAGAUGAGAAAAUAACCUAAUCGUUCAUUCUUUGGCUAGGACUAAAAAAUCUAAAAAUGAAGAUUUAUUUCUCUGAGAACCGUGUCAUGCAGCCCAUUCGAUGUUUGCUAAGAGUGAUCAGCGUUUGCUCUAGACACAGUAUUACAGAAUGGCAGUUCCCUGCUCAUUCAGUUUAUUUUUUUUUUAAGCUACUGUGUGAAAGGUAUGAAUGCUGUACUUCAGCGUGCAAGCACCACUUUUCUCUCAGACUAGAGUAAGCAGACAUCUUAAAAUAAGUUUGUUAUAGUAUGUUUUUAUCCUGAUGUGUGCUCUGGAAAAGUUUAUUUGUGGAGGUGAUUAAGUGGUUAGCUGUCCUGGGCUUAAAUGCAGGACAGCUGAAGCUUGUAGGAAAUCAAAAAUUACUGGGUGUUUGUUGCCAAAUUUCGCUGUUCCUGAACCACGGGAGGACUGUUAAGGGGCAGCAAGGUGGAAACAGAUCUAUUGGUCUAACUAAAUGCGCAACCUUUCUUUAGGAAUAGAUUUUGGACCUGUAGCCAGCACACCCUUUAUGGGCACCAGUGUGGGUGGGAACAAAGUGUCAAUUCUGCACGUGCAGUGACAUCUGCCAGCAUUUGGGGUUAGCUUUGGGAAGGACCGGAGGAUCUCACUUUUGAAAAGGAUUGAUUUGGGGAUUGGGUGGGAGGGGAUGCUCACUGACAGAUGUGACGAUGUCCUUCACAUGAAGAGGAUACUUUGGUUGCUCUUUGUCUGCUUUUGAAGGGUUUAGUAACUGUUUGCACAUGAUUUCCCAAUGGAGGUCAGUGAAUGAAACCUUCAGGCAGUUGAGCAAACAGGAAUCUUGAAGAGCUUUGAUGAAAAGCUACUAAGGUGACACUUCUGAGAGUACUGCCCAGACAGAUGUUUCAGGGAUUGCACACAGUUCCCAGUGCCUUAAGGAACUGCUCUGGUUUGUCAAUUUAAUCAAAACAGUGGUUGUGGUAAGGAUCCCUUUAAAAAGAGGGUGGAUGCAUAAGAGAAAAGAAAGGUUAGGGAUGGAAGGCAGGGAAGUCAUUCUUGCAAACCAGUUAGUUAUUCCUGGAACUUUAUUUUGUAUCUUCGGUUGCUGCUCUACCAUUCACACACUCAUUGUGUGAACACACAUCACAUACUGAUCAUUUUUCUCCAUCUGCUGGCUGACAGGACAUCUACAGGAACAUUUCACAAUUUACCUUUGUGAUGGAGGUGAUAGUUAUCUCGCAGUGCCAUUCUUGCCCAGAAUCUCCCUGAGAAAACCAGUAAGCCAGUACUAACGCAGUCUCUAAUAAAGUCAUUUUUGCAGAGCAGACAGCAUGAGGAUAAGGCACUCUCUGCUCUUCCUCUAAGCCUUUCCUAGCCAGCUCUCUUGGGCUUAGAGAAGAUUUAGUCUAGCUGGAGAGCUUUUUGUUUGGAAAUGAAGAUUUCUGGGUUUUGUGUUUGUUUGUUUUCCUUGUGUGUAUGUGGAGUGGAUCUUAAGAUAUCCUUUGUGGUCAUUUUUUGUUAGCAAAGAGGUUCUUCCAAAGCAUAUUUUUAUCCAUGGUCAUGUGUCAUAGCAGUCGAGGUGUAAAAUGGUGAGAUCAACCCAGAUCUGGCUGUUCAGGCAGAUGACAGUGGUUGUCCCUGGUUAAGUGCCUGGUUGCUGGGCAGAUCUGGGUCACAUGAAAACUCUGGAUUUGAUGCCUGGCUGUCAGCAUCUGCAUUAGGGGUCUGGGCUGUUUGUCAGAGCAGAGGACCACAGAUGGGAAAGCUGAGCAUUUCAGUUCUGUGCUGGAGAAGGCUGGCUGAGGCUUGGAUUAAGAUCUCCCUUCUAGGUGAAGUCUGGUUGGGAGUUCUCUGAGCCUGACUACUCCUGUCUUCUUGGGCAAUUUCUUGCAGGGAUGAUAAUGGUGGUUCUUUUGAAGGCUCAUUUGGCACACUGGGGUUUCAAGAGAGCUGUCUUAUAGACCUGGCUUUGCUUCACUGCUUUGUAAGAUUUGUGUUGGCAGUUUUGGUCAACAUUUUUCAGGGAUGCUCUGUGAUGCACAUCUGUUCAAACUGCCUCUUGUGUGCCCUGUGGGGAGGAACCAGUUGGAUCCUUGACUUUCCAUCUGUCUUCCAGUCAGGGUACUCUCAAAAUGCCUCUGAUUGUGUAUGGUCACAGAAUUCAGCAUUGAUAGUUGCUGGGAGUGUGGUAACAGGACAGUGAAAAUGCAACCCUGCUAAGCAGGAUGUGACUAUUAGUAGUUAACUGAUUGUACCACAUAAUACUCUGCUCCCCUCCGGUUGCUCUUUAACACAAUCCACUUGCACGUCCAAAAUAUGUUGUUGGAUGAGUGAACUGAUGUAUUGUUGUGGGGGAGCUAUAGUUCUGCCUCCUAAAGUCUGUAAAUUCUGAAUUUAGAAAGGUCAUCCAUGAAGAGGGUUCCUUUCAGGGUUCCCUGAUGCAGCAGAAGCAGUGUUCCCCAUGACUCAAGUGAGCCCACUUGCACAAAGGGGUUCCAGAACUGCCUGCUGCUUUAUAAAGAAUAAAGGAUAAAGAGAAGGAGGGGGAACCUGCGUUAUUUUUGAUGCAACGUGAAGUUCUUUUUCAUCAGCUUUUGGCAAGUGAGAGCACUGUGUAGUUCUGGAAAGAGAAUUUAUUUAAAUUGUUCUGAAUAAAAGCAACAUGCUUGUCAAUAAUAAAGUUUUGAUCUAACAAGCAAUACAGAGCUAAAGGAGAAAUUUGUCUUUUAGGAAAAAGUCUUACCUCAGCAACUCUCCCCUUCUUGUUUUUAUGGUUGUGUGGGUUUUUUUUUUUUCAGCUUGAAAGUCUUUUGAACACCAUUAUUUUAUGAAAAGUAACAAGUAUAUUUCUUAUCCAUUAUUCUUGCAGUCCAUGCAAAAUUACUGAUGUGCUGUCAAAGUCAUAUGGAGAUCGUUCAUCAUACCAAAGUAACUACAGGACACCUGUACGUUUCACAUGAUUUCACAUAGUGAAGAAUUCUGAAUUGGCAUGCUUAGCAGUGUAGCAUUUCUCAACCUUUGGGGCAACAGAAUUUGAUAUUUUUUCCCCUUUCUUAGUAAUAGAGCUUGAUUUGUUUGUGUUUUAAUAGUUGGGAUAGAAAAGAAUGGCUACAUCCCAUUUUUCAGCCUAGAGAACUUGCACAGAGUUAAUGCUUGUAAAUUUUACAUGAUGUUUAGGCUGUUAAAGAACAAAGCGCUUAAAUUGCAUAAUUUGGAUCCUCAAAAGUUCUUCUAAAGGUCUGAGUAUUAUUUAGUUUCAGUACGCUUGCUUUAGUGUGUUGGUUAGGGCUCUUCAUGAACAAAAUACAAACAUUAUCUUUAUUACUCACAGUGCUGCUGCAUACUUGCGGUUUAGUUUUUGCCAACUAUUUGCAAUGUAUAGCCACAGACUCUGUCUGGGUGGCAGAAAACAAAAACAAAGUCUUUCUGUUCCUAUCAUGACUUGUAUUUUAAAUUAGGAACAUUAAUGUAUCAUUAGGUAGGGAGGUAAGAGUACGUCUGCGUGUGUGUGACUCUUCAAUAGUCUGAAGCGUCAGAAACCACAUCAGAAUAGACUUACAUGCAUCUUAUUAGCUGUAAGCACCCGCAGCAUGAUUAAUGCUCUACAAGAGAGACAGGCAAGACCUUCCCAGCCCCAGGAAGCUUACAGGCUAACAGUGAUAAAAUUUGCCUUCUAAUUUAGGAGGUGGAAAUUAAUUUUGUGUUUAUUAUUAUUGUGGCUCUGCUCUGGAUGUACUUCUGGGAUACUGAAGCUAUUGUACACAUGUGAAUUGGCCUGUGAUGGCUUCACUAAUCCAUGCAAUCAACUCCUCCUCUGUUCAGCUGUGUAUAAGGCACAAGAUCAGAAUUGCCUCUCUUCUAUUUUAAGACCUCUCUUGGAACCUGCCUUAAAACAAUUUUGAAAUGACAAGUUUAAGGAAUCAUAGGGUUAUUUAAAUGCUCACAUGUGCAUCCAUUCUGAGUUCACUGAAAAAUUCAUAGUCCUGGACUGCCUUACAGAAUUAACAGGGCAGGAAAAAAUGUGGUGCAGUAGAGGGCAUGCAGUAGUGUAUACCUAAGUUUGUACUGUGCCUUUCCGUUCUGAAGGGAAAACAAACAAACAAACAAACUUCAGUUGUGUAUUAUCCUCUUGAUUACAACUGCAGUUUCCUCUCAGUCACCCCACCUCCCCCACAGCCUUCCCACACCUUUCCUUCAUAGGAUCGGAGACACAGAAUAUAUAAUCAUGGAGAAAUGUUUGUGUUUAGUUUUUUCAUCAAGCUAUCCCAUACUUCAAAUCAUAUUUGCAUGCAUUGGCAUUUUCAAAUGGAAUUUCCCAUCACAUUUUGCUGAACUAUUUCAGCAAUUCUAGAGAUGUACAGGAUGUGUGCCUUUUUUUUUUUUUUUUUUUGAAAGCAAAACAGAAUUUCAGUUUUCAGUAACUACUUUCAAAAACAUCUCUUAAGCAAAUGAAGUAAACAAGUAUUAGUAAUAUUAUCUACUAAAUUAAAGCCAUUGACUAUAGGAGCUUUUCUACCAAAAUCUGUAGUUUUCCAAUAAACCCCUAAUAAUCCUGCGAAGUACGUUAGUGUAUUUUUUUUCUGAAUUUGUAUUCAUAGAAUCAUAGAAUCACCAAAGUUGGAAAAGACCUCUAAGAUCACCCACUCCAACGUUUUUCCUAACAUCCAACCUGAAUCUCCCCUGGCACAAUUUGAGGCCAUUCCCUCUAGUCCUAUCACUAGUUACAUGGGAGAAGAGGCCAAAUUAAAAUCACUGUCUCCCCUUAAUCUUCUUUUGUAGUCAAAGUGGCUAGGUAGCAGACUCCAUUUUGAAUAGUUGAGAACAGCAGAUAGCAAAGAUACUUUAUUUUUCUGGCAACAUAUUUGAAAUUUCAUAGCUUUAGCAAAAAUAUAAGCUAUACCAAAGCUAUACCAAAGCCAUUAUGUUGUUAAAAAUAGGACAAAUUUCUAUUAAUUUGCAUAUGAGAGCUUUCUGCUUAUUGGCUGGGAAGGCUGCUGCUGAGUUAUAUUCCUGUCGUGUUUUUUGCCAAAGAAAAGUGUUCUUUUUAUUUUUGAAGCUUCUCAUCUAAAAUGUGCAAGAAAAAGUGACUAUUUGGUAUGGAAGGGUUGAAAUUAAAUUUACCAACUAGCAUGUAUCCUCUAGAGAGAAGUUACUCGUUCUACUAAAACCUGUCAUUGUGUGCCAAAAUAAGAAUGAGCAUCAGUUGAAGGAGUUUGUUUUAUGCACAGUAGUUGAGAAAUAAUUUAACCAGAGAUGUAGAAAAUUCAGAGGUAAUCUAUGUUGUUUGGCUAUAAAUAAAGAUGACUACUGAUGAAGCAUAGAUAUGGUAAAGAUAUUUUUUUUCUUGAAUGAGAGCAUCAUCUCUAGCUUACUUCUGGUAACUUGAAUUUUAUUGGAUUUGGAUGUUAUUCUUCAUUCAAGUAAAAGCAAUAACUAGAGAAUGUCAGUGUUCCUUGUCUUGGGUGAAGUGGGGGAGAAUUGACCUUUCGUGGCAAUGUGAAUAUAAUGAAAAAUUUUCUUAUGUGCCAGACCAAUAAGUGUUGGCUAAGGUGUGGUGCCAAUCUUUUUGCAGGCCUUCAGGCCUUGUAUUGGAGAGUUUCUACCUCUGUGUUUUCAGAACGUUCCCAGCAGAUGCCAUAGUGAUUUAGCUCUUCAGUCUUGGGUGUUUUACUGCAAAGCAUCUUCUGGGCUUUAUGCUCCCCCCGUGCGUAUGUCUUGUGUGUGAGGGAAGAUGAUGGGACACUUUUUAGGCUGUGAUUAUCUGAAUGGAGCAUGUUCUAAUAUGCCUCUCUCACCAGACACAAGUCAGUUGGCCAGCUUUCCUACUGCCUGGCAGCAAGCUGAGGCUUGGUUGAAACCACGUAUGGAGUGAUAGUGGAAAAAGGGAGGCAAGGUAGCAAGGAAGUUGUCAGACUGGUAAACCAAAUGUUUGAUGUCAGAGAGGGCUGUCCAGGAAGAGAGCCAAAGGAACUGUCAUAUGGUAUUGGCCACAAGACUUACAGGCCUUCUGUCUGCCCAUCAGGUCUUUGAAGUGACCAUUGGUUUCAGUUGUGAUAGUUUGGCUGUUCUCGAAGACUUCUAGAAGACACUGACAGAAAUGAAGCAGGUUGGCACAUUGGCAUAAACACAGGUAUGGCAGAGGCAGCGGGCACCAGGCCAGAACCUGUCCCGCCAGACACUGUCCAGCCAGAACGGGGAACUUCAGCUGAUGCAGGAGCUCCUGAGCGGGUGUUGACUUCUUGUUCACAGGCAUCUCUGGAGGUGUUCCUGAAGCAUGUAGCUGUGGUACUUACGGAUGUGGUUUAGUGGUUGAUAUAUUGGUGAUAGGUGGGCAGUUGGACUAGGUGAUCUUAGAGGUCUUUUCCAACCGUAAUGAUUCUAUGAUUCUAAAGUACUCCCACCUCAGGUUACCCAAGAGAUCCUCUGCUUUCUUCUUCCCCCAACACGUCUGUGGGACAUUGCAGCAGCUGCGGAAUUCUCAUCAGAAACAAGUGUUGUGUCCCUCUGAGAAUCAUGUCCCUGAGGCCCAUGGUUCACCAGUCAGCUGACUUCCACAGCACGCUGGAUAUGAGUCCUUUCUGCACAGAUUUUUGCUGGGCACAUGCAGGGGACUUAGUAUGGGAAAGAUCUGGACUUGUUUAGGGGGAGGAAUUGAUUCCAAAUGAUGUCUUGCUUUAGGUUUAUGGUGUUUUUCAGACAAUGAAUUAAAUACUGUUUUCUCCAUACUAGAGGCUUGGAAGCAACAUCUCUCUAACUUUUUAGUUACCAGAAUCAGUGCUUUCUUACUUAGUACAAGGAAACACAUGUCCUUGGUUAUCUAUCCAGCUAAUAAUUAAUAAUGCUUGGUUGUUUUUUCCCCCAUGUAUCUAUGCUGACCUCUUUAGAAAGAGAUUUUAUAUUCUGAGCCCCUUAUGUAUUUUUCCAUAUCACGUAUUUGAAUGAUUAUUCCAAAGUGCAAAACCUCCAGUGUCUAGCACACAAUUUUCCAAUACUUCAUCUUACCCUCACAGGAAAGGACAAUUAAAGAAAUAUUGAGUGUUUUUCUGUUUGCAUUUUUCAUUAAAUAGGUUUUCUUAACUAGAAUGUCAGAGUAUCUGUGUUAGUGAAGCGUGUCUUCCAUGUGCUUUCAUCCUCAAGGUAGCUCCAACUGACAAAAUUACAUGGGGACUAACACCUACUUUUCAUUACUGGCAGUAGUUUGCUUACAGCUGGACCAAAAGGGCACCUAACAGAUUAAGCUAGAUUCUAUUUAAAGAUUUUUAUAUUUUCCUAUUACAAUAGGAAAAAAAAAAAAAUGAAAAGGAAGGUAACCUAAAGGUUUUUACUCAUGAGAAUAUUUUCAGUGAAUUAUAUUGAUUAACAAAAUUGCUUCAUCUUAUGGCAGAAACUUUUUAGAAGAAGGCAGUAAUUGUAAUUAAUUUUUAGACUGUGCCACAUAUUUGAUGAUAGCUCUGAUUCAUGCUAUUAUAUUCUCUCUCUUCCUUCACCCACAGCAAAACAAAUUUAAUUUGAUUCAUACCCUUAAGGAAAAAAAACUCAAAAUUACUCACAUGGUUAUGAUUCAGCUCUUGGCAUAAAACCCUGUCCUCCUCCAGCCUCCCCUUCUCCCACCCAAACCACCCCCACCCUCACCCACUGUAUAUUUAUGUCACCGUAGUCUGAAAAAGUUGAGUAGUUCUUUAAAAACAGAGCAAAUGAAAUCCUUCUUCAGGCUGCCGUAUUACAUAUGUCGAUAUGAGUCUAAUAAGACUUCCUUUUCACAAGUGGUAUGGAGGCAGCAACAGUACUCUGUUUUUCAUGUUACUUUAAUAGACAACAGCACUGUGUUAGUCCUGAGAGGUGGUUGCUUUUUAGCAGUUUAGCAAAGCUACAGCAAGCGAUGCUAAAAUUGCACAAGUUGUUGGAUUCAUGAAUAUGGCUUUCCAAAAAAAGACUUCUAAGGAAACUGUGUAUAGGGAUUCUUGUUGAGGUGAAGUACCAGAAGAGUUAUCUUAAUUAAUAUUAUUUCUAUCUUUCUCUUCAUUAGUGUUAAUGACCUCAUUUUUUUAGAUAUUACCGGGGUUUUCCCCAAGAAAAGAUAAAAGCUGCAAUGCUUUCAUUACAUAAGUUUAUAACAGUGUCCCUGGUUUCUUAGAGCGUGUCAGAUAUAUCUUUAUAUGGGUAAUUGGCAGUCUCCUGCAUUAACAUCCCACUGGAAGUGUGUGGUAGGAUUCUGCUCACCGUUGUAUCUCAUGAGCUGUCGUUCGUAAGAGCUGAACACAGCUCAGGUUCGGCAGUCAGACGCUAGAAUCAUUCAAAGGAGAUAUUUUGUAUAUGAAAAGAUGGUUAUAGAGAUCUGCUAUUUAGAGGUGCUGCAGCCGAACAAUCCCAGUGGAAAUCAGGAGCAGCUCAGUGCCUCUGAAAGCUGACACGUGUGUUCAUGUGUAUAACGCUGAGCACAGAGGACUUAAUGCACACUGAUGCAAUGAACCAGUCACAGUAUGUACCACAUCUUGCUUAAGUUGGUGGGAAGGACUAUUUUUAACCACGCUCACUAAUGCAGCUCUUCUACUCUUACUGCAAGAGACAAAUAGGUUAUACCUUAAAGGUAGAAAUCAAUAGGGAAAAAAAACAUUCUCAGAGCCCAGAUCAUUUGUUUACUCAGAAAAUAUUAACCUGUUAGUUAAAUGAUGCAUGUUUCAUUAGCUCUGUGAAAAGAUAAAAUUCAUUUCUUCUUCAUUCCCCUAACAACCUCUGCUUCCAUGUAUGUACUGUGUAGAAACAAUAUGGUAUUUGCACACAUGUCCAUGGUCUCAGUGACACUGGGGAUGUUCCUUUCUGAAUGAGAAAGGUCUGUCAGUGCAAUUAGCAUGAAGGGUGCUGUCCAGUUCCUUUGGAGUUCCUCCAGUCCUAACGUGACUUCUGUAUUUUGAGUCCUGGCCACAAAGUGUUGGCAUGAAUGAACGUGACCUGCAGAGGAAAGGGUGGUCUCUGUGUGGCCUCUUCCUCUCCCUUUCCUGUGUGGUUGCUUUACGCAAUGUGCAAACUGUCUACCUUGGACUGUCUCACUCCCAAAUAAACAGGUCAACUAGAUAGCUCUUGUGUCUGAUGCCAAUGACAAGCAUCUUAAAAGGAGUCAGUUGACCCCACAUAUUUGGACAAAGAGACAACAGUGAGAAAACCGAAAGGGAAAAGUAGGGAAACUUCCCUAAUGGGAGAGAAAAACUGCUUGGUAUAGCAGGAAACAGGCUUUGUUGGAACAGUGAAGAAAGACAAGUCUACUGAGGAAACAGUCAGAAAAGAAAAACGUAAUAGAAGAGCUAGGCAUUUACAUCUGUGGGAGUACAUGGAAUGGGAUGAAGAGAGCAGCGCCUUCUCUCUCAUACUCCUCAGUCCUCCCCUUCUCUUCCUGGUAUAACUGGGUUUCUGUGUUGCAAUGAAGUAUUCCUCUCCCAGCAAGCACAACCAGCAGAAUCCAGCUGAACUUCAGUCAUGCUUGCACAAGCCAAGCUACCGAAAUUCAGACACCAUUGCCAGCAGUGCAGUGAUGCACCUUCCUGCGUUCCAUUAGGACAAAAGUCCCAUAAGAUAUACUGACUUUACAAAAAAAAUAAUUUCUCAACAAUGAGGUCAACAAUGCAAGUACGUCUUUUCCCGUUAAGCACCAGCUGCUAUCAUUUUUGAGUGUUACAUUUUAGCCAUGUAGAUGGUGGCUGGAGACCAUCCAGCUCAGCACUGGUUGGAACGAGAUGCACAGUGUGAUCCAGGACAUGCAUGUGGGAUGGGGAGCCAAAAGUUCCCUGAUGCGACUCAGUUCCUGAUGGAAACUUCUGUGAUGUUGGUCGAGUCGCUUACAUACUCCUGGCCUCUGUUUCUCAUUUUCUAGAGACUUAAGUCUACCAUUUCACAGGGAUAUUAUGAGGAUUUACCUUAAAACGUACUUCUGAGGUAUUUAUAAUGGUUAAUCAGCUUUUCCAUUAUGGAGUAGUUACGUGAUUUGGCUGGCUUCAGACACACGAGCUCACACGAACGCUAUACAUAGAAUACUUCUCUGGAAUAUUUUGUGUUUGGCUCAUCUGAGUCAUGGUUUCCAUUCAAAAAGAAUAGUGAAAUAAUUUGAUUGUUUUAAUGUAAAAUAUUGUUGUGAAGAACCUCAUAGUAAGUGCUUUGGGAAGAACUCAGAAACAAUGUGUGAUAAAAUCAUUAGGCUUAUGUCACUUAUCAGGGAUGAUGGCAGAUACAUGUCUGUUUUCUACCAAGUUGGAGAAUGGAAGACUGAGGGUAUAGAACAAGACAAGGGAAACACGACUUGAAGCAAAGAGAGAUGAUGGUGAUCAUUUGGUGUUGUGCCUGCAGCCGUCCCCAACUAAGUUUAGGAUGGAAAUGUAAAAUAAAGUUCCAAACCGUCAGAAGCAACUUGUGGAACAACCUCUCAACUGCAGGAGCUGAGGAGAAGCUGCAGCUCUUUGAGAUGACAGUAGGGUCAGAAAACAAGAGAGGCGUUCGCUGGUUUCCUUCCCAGUCCCUAAGUUCUUCAGCUACACCUGUUGUCCUAGGUCUCUUCUUUAAUUCAGUUGUCUGUAGUUAAACUUCUGAAAAGAAUGGACAGCUCAUCUCAAGGUUUUAACAUUAAUAGGAACCUGUGGCCAUUUUGAGACAUUUAUUCACUAGCCCUCAAGAAGACGGAUAAGUUGAUAAGUCGAUCUGGCUACUUGUAAUUUGAAGUUGCGUACCUGCUUGAAGCUCAUGACAAGGUGGUGUUGGACUAAUGCUGUGGAUCGUUCAGCCCAGACCUUGUAGUUGCCCAUCAAUCGCUCAGUAGUCAGUGUAGAUUCUGUCUUUACAAUCAGCAGCUACAUCUGGCUACUGGGUCUCUGAUGACAUCUCAUAUCUUCCAUCUAGACUGUUUGUUGGAUUUCUGUCUUCUCUCCUUGGUGCAGAGCAAGUUCACAGUGCUAACAAGUUAACGUCAGAGGUGUGGCCCCAAGUAAAGAAUUGGAUAUAUUGGAUGUUGGAUCUUCUUUACAGUGGGAAUCAGAUUAACUAUCUGGAUGUUUUAUAUUGGGAAGCAGAAAUAUUUUCUGUAGCCUGUUGUGGGGGCUGUAGUUUAACUGGUAUCUGUAAAUUGGAACUAUAAAAAUAAUCGGACUUUUUCACUGAAGAAUCUUCAGCCUACCCUAAUCAAAGGAUAGGUGUUGAAAAUGGUAUCUUGUCUGAUUGUGUGACUAUUGCAUAGUAGGGGAGGAAAUGUACUGUGAACUGCGGUGCGCACAGCUGCUGUUAAUCAGUUGUGUGGGAAGACUGUCCAGGUUUGGGGCAUGAACCUGGCAUACAAUGUAGAUUUCUGUGUUUGUUAAGCAACAGCUACAUUGUCUGCUGGGUUUCCAGCUGCCUGGAAAUACAAAGUGGAGGGUUGUCUACAAUUUUUUUUUUGUCAAGCUGCCUCUCUGCCAAUCUUAAAUAAGGAAAAUAAUGCAAUUGAGGUCUGUGGGCUCCCUCACUCCUUGUUCCAGCUCAGGUGAUCCAGCUGGUGUCUGCAGAGCUGGGAGCCAGGGUGAAUAUGAAGCUAGUUAGGAGGAAGGUGGUACAAGAGACUGAAGUGUUGCAGGCAUCAGAACUUGAGCAGCUCUCACGUGGAAGCUAAUGCAGGCUGUGUACAUAACCAUUACCUUGCCUUGGUGAUGGCCUUUUUCUUUAAAAAGUGUGUGUGCUAUACGGUUAGGAAAUCCUUUUGGAGAAGAGAGUCGUGGGAAACCAUGAUAGAUGCUUCUAUUCUAGAUCUGAUAAAUGUACUUUUAAAGAGGUGCUACAUAUAGUAUGGCUUAUAAACAAAGUGCCUAGAAAUAAAUGGGGAGGGAUAAGCUAAUGUCUUGAGUGUUGGCACCAGCUGGAUCUCUUAAGCUUCACCAAAACUAGGAUGUUUCACUUGUGCAUUAUAUUUAGCUGAGCAGUGACAAACCAGGCAGUUUCAGUUUGAGAAGAGGAGGCCUGGAAUAGCAGGAGACUGUCCAUUCAGACUUGAACUGCAGUCAUAGUAGUGAAUGGGGAAGCUUGUUCAGCUUGAGCUUGUACAACGUAUGGCUGUACUGCUAACUCUUCAGUGUUGGUAUCAUGUGUAUUUUGACCAUGGACAUUGGAAGAGCUGUGAUGGCCAAACAAUGAAGAAAAGUAUGGUUUGGUUAAGCCUGUGUUUUCUGACUUAUCUACAGGUUGUUAUAGAUCAGCAGGCAUCCAGAACUUUGUUUGAAUAGCAUACUUAAAGAAGCAGAAGGGUUCCUAAGUGAGUGCUUGUAUUAAAAAAUUUUUGUUUCUGUUUAAAAACAAAUAAAACUUCUAGUGGAAAGAACUGUGUCAUUCUGUUUACUGUAUUGAGCUAGGUUUCCACAAAGUGUUACAGGAACUAGGGAACAUAAUGGUGUUAAUUAACACAUCCAGUGUAGAGGGUCCUGCAAUUCACCUUUUGGAUCGAGGGUUCCUGUAAAAUUGUACAGACAAUUGCCUACGGACAGUAUCUGGAGCAAAUAUUGAUUAUCCAUUGAAGGAACUGGAUUAUCCACAUAUCUUUGAAAACUACUUGUUAAUGUUGAGCAAGUGGUUUGUCUGCUCCUUUACAUGAUUUCCUCAAUGCUAAUCUGUUAGCAUCUAUAUCUCUGUAUAAAAUUGGUGAAGACUUGUAUAUGAAGUUCAUUGUUUAAAUUAGUUGGCACUUUCUUGGUUGUGUUAUAGAUGUUUCUCUCCGUAUAGCCUCCUUCUGAAUCUUGACUAGCAUACUUAUAAUAUUCAUAAAAAUGGCAACAUAUUCCUGUCUGUGGUGUUUAUGAGGCUCAUUUAGCUUUAGUUGGAACUAGACAGAACUAAGCAGCAGUUCUUAUGGUGUCGCUUUGCUCCUGUGUCUGUAGUUCAGCUCUUCAGGGUUCAUAUCAGAAUAAGGUAAUUCUGCCCUAACUGACUAUAUGGCAAAUGCUGUAUAGCAAUUAAAACAUCACUGUAGUGUUCAGCAUUAAGCCCCCUCUCCUAUUCAGUUUCACUUCCCCACUGUUUCAGUUAAACUUACAAUGUUGAAAUCCCCUUUGUGGGCAGGUACUUCUGGUUCCUCUUAUUUUUUUUGUCAUGCUAUUUGCUUUUGUAUACAAGCACCUUUUAAAACAAAACAAAAACUAUUACCUUAUUCUGAAGUUUUUCUGUCAUUUUCAGUGUCUAGCAUAGCUAAUGGAAGCAUGUAAAAAUGGUUACUCCUCUUACCACCUGUUCUUGUUUGUUAUUCCUCCUUUUUUCCUAUUCUGUAUAGAUUCCAGAAGUGCAAGGCCUGCAGUAAGCAGAGUGACUUGUGUACCCAAAGAGGGGAAUAUGAGACUGACAGUCCAGAGCUGUCCAUCUCAUUGCAGCAUCUCUGAAGCCAGAUCAACGUAGCGGGUGUUGAUAACUGCUGAAUUACUCAACCGUAUUCCUUCUCCAAAAGGCAGAGCGUGGAGUUGGGAAUUCGAGCUUGAUUUUUACUGUUUUUCCCCUGUACAAUUCACUAAGCAGAUAAUGGGAGCUAGAACAGUGCCAGUUGAUCUGUUUGCUGGAAUAGUGGGCUGGAGAAAGAUCUCAGUACUUUCAUCUUGUAUUUUCUUCUGUCUCUCUGUUCAUGUAAUACCUUCCCACGCUGAUACUUCUUCCUGUCUUGACUCUUAAUUUGACUUUAUAUCUGUUUAAAUCUUGAUACCAGGAAGAACAAUAUUUUUACGUUCUGGCUCCAGAUAACUGCUAGGAAGGCCUCACUGCUUACUAUUUCUGUUCUGUAAAGAAUACCUCUGAACUCUAUAAGCACUAUUUUCUUGCCUAUGCACAUUGUUUCUGUGCAAAUCAAUUUCAAAGAACUGAAAGGACAUACCUAGUCUGACCUUGAUGCACUUCCAGCAUGUGCUGCCAUAUCAGUACACAGUAGUGACACAUACAUUCUCUAAGGUACUUCAAGCAAAGCUAGAGUCAUGAAGCUUCUAAUACUGCGAUAACAAAAUGAAAAUGUGGUUGCUUUAGUGUGCAAAAAUGAAUGGGUUGUUUCAGUUGCUCAAAAAUGUGCAUAGACAUUCCCAACUGGAUUGAGCAGAUUGCUGAGAUCUGGAAGGUUUCUACAGCCU